rnacentral:rRNA from 1 species
CAUCUAUCUUUUAUCACAAUCGCGGGAAACCGCGAUAAGGGAACCCCGAGUGCCAGCAUCACAUGUUGGCUGUCCAGAUGAUUAAAAAUCAUUUGUUCUUAAGGGCCGGGCAAGACCGGGGCCAGCCGCCGCGGUAACACCGGCGGCCCGAGUGGUAGCCGUUUUUAUUGGGUCUAAAGGGUCCGUAGCCGGCUUGAUAAGUCCUUUGGGAAAUCUGGCAGCUUAACUGUCAGGCUUCUAAGGGAUACUGUCAGGUUUGGAACCGGAAGAGGAAAGGGGACUCCGGGGGUAGGAGUGAAACCUUGUAAUCCCUGGGGACCAUCUGUGGGGAAGGGGCUUUACCAGAACGGGGCUGACGGGGAGGGACGAAAACUUGGGGGGGAAACCGGAUUAGAACCCGGGUAGUCCAGGGCGCAAACCCUCUUUGCUUGAGGUUAGCUGGGCUCCGAGCUCAGUAAGGGUGGGAGAAAAGUUGUUAAGCAAGUGCCUGGUAAGUACAACCCCAAGAUGAAAACUUAAAGAAUUGGGGGGGGAAAGGGCGAAUCCUUUAAACCUUGCGGGACAGCCCUUUUAGGGGGGGUAAAUUCUGAGCUGGGGGGAACCAUGGCAUAGCUUUUCCUAGAA